AUGUUGGGUUAAGUCCCGCAACGAGCGCAACCCUUGUCUCCUGUUGCCAUCAGGUAAAGCUGGGCACUCUGGAGAGACUGCCGGUGACAAACCGGAGGAAGGUGGGGAUGACGUCAAGUCAGCAUGGCCUUUAUGUCCAGGGCUACACACGUGCUACAAUGGCCGGUACAAACCGUCGCGAGCCCGCGAGGGGGAGCUAAUCGGAAAAAGCCGGUCUCAGUUCGGAUUGUAGGCUGCAACUCGCCUGCAUGAAGUCGGAAUCGCUAGUAAUCGCGGAUCAGCAUGCCGCGGUGAAUACGUUCCCGGGCCUUGUACACACCGCCCGUCACAUCACGAAAGCUGGUUGUACUAGAAAUCGCUGUGUUAACCCGCAAGGGGGACAGGCGCUUAAGGUAUGGUCAGUGAUUGGGGUGAAGUCGUAACAAGGUAA
rnacentral:rRNA from 1 species